CUGCACGCUGCGGUCCACUCACACACAGUGCGGGGCACAGAGGCCCCUGGAAAGAGCACACUGAGUGGGAGAGCAAAUUCUGGAACUGUCGCAGGCGGAAACCACACAAGGGGGAAACAGACAAAACAGCAAACCCAGAAGAACCAUUCCCGCUUCCGAAGCUCCAUGAUCACGGCAGACGCUUCUUAAAACCUCCCGUUUAAUAUCAGAUGCCACACACACGAGAUCAAUGUGCACGUCGGGAGAAACCACAGCACAGCCAGGAGUACUGGCGCACAGUGAAUACGCUUCCGUCCUUUCAAAAGCCUUUCCCGAACGGUAUCUUGUAAAAAAUGCCAAAAAUAAAAUGAACAAAACUGCCA
rnacentral:antisense_RNA from 1 species